UACGUAGGGGGCAAGCGUUGUCCGGAAUUAUUGGGCGUAAAGAGCGCGUAGGCGGUCCGAUAAGUCGGCUGUGAAAGUCAGGGGCUCAACCCUUGGAAGCCGGCCGAUACUGUCGGACUAGAGUCCGGAAGAGGCGAGUGGAAUUCCCGGUGUAGCGGUGAAAUGCGCAGAUAUCGGGAGGAACACCAAUGGCGAAGGCAGCUCGCUGGGACGGUACUGACGCUGAGGAGCGAAAGCCAGGGGAGCAAACGGG
rnacentral:rRNA from 1 species